rnacentral:rRNA from 1 species
GACGAACGCUGGCGGCGUGCUUAACACAUGCAAGUCGAACGGAAAGGCCCUGCUUUUGUGGGGUGCUCGAGUGGCGAACGGGUGAGUAACACGUGAGUAACCUGCCCUUGACUUUGGGAUAACUUCAGGAAACUGGGGCUAAUACCGGAUAGGAGCUCCUGCUGCAUGGUGGGGGUUGGAAAGUUUCGGCGGUUGGGGAUGGACUCGCGGCUUAUCAGCUUGUUGGUGGGGUAGUGGCUUACCAAGGCUUUGACGGGUAGCCGGCCUGAGAGGGUGACCGGCCACAUUGGGAAUGAGAUACGGCCCAGACUCCUAAGGGAGGCAGCAGUGGGGAAUAUUGCACAAUGGGCGGAAGCCUGAAGCAGCAACGCCGCGUGCGGGAUGACGGCCUUCGGGUUGGAAACCGCUUUCGCCUGUGACGAAGCGUGAGUGACGGUAAUGGGUAAAGAAGCACCGGCUAACUACGUG